rnacentral:rRNA from 1 species
UACAGAGGUCCCAAGCGUUGUUCGGAUUCAUUGGGCGUAAAGGGUGUGUAGGUGGCGCCGUAAGUCGGGUGUGAAAUUUCGGAGCUUAACUCCGAAACUGCAUUCGAUACUGGUGUGCUUGAGGACUGGAGAGGAGACUGGAAUUCAUGGUGUAGCAGUGAAAUGCGUAGAGAUCAUGAGGAAGACCAGUGGCGAAGGCGGGUCUCUGGACAGUUCCUGACACUGAGACACGAAGGCCAGGGGAGCAAACGGG